rnacentral:rRNA from 1 species
GACAGAGGGUGCAAACGUUGCUCGGAAUCACUGGGCGUAAAGGGCGUGUAGGCGGGAAGGAAAGUCAGAUGUGAAAUCCCCAGGCUCAACCUGGGAACUGCAUUUGAAACUCCCUUUCUUGAGUACCGGAGAGGAAAGUGGAAUUCCUGGUGUAGAGGUGAAAUUCGUAGAUAUCAGGAGGAACACCGGUGGCGAAGGCGGCCCACUGGAUCGGUACUGACGCUGAGGUGCGAAAGCGUGGGGAGCGAACAGG